UACAUAGGGUGCAAGCGUUAAUCGGAAUUACUGGGCGUAAAGCGUGCGCAGACGGUUUUGUAAGACUGUCGUGAAAUCCCCGGGCUCAACCUGGGAAUGGCGAUGGUGACUGCAAGGCUAGAGUUUGGCAGAGGGGGGUAGAAUUCCACGUGUAGCAGUGAAAUGCGUAGAUAUGUGGAGGAACACCGAUGGCGAAGGCAGCCCCCUGGGUCAAAACUGACGCUCAUGCACGAAAGCGUGGGGAGCAAACAGG
rnacentral:rRNA from 1 species